rnacentral:lncRNA from 1 species
CAAAGUGUAUGUGACAUAUGAAUUUUUGUUUUGCUGUACAGGAUGAUGAAGAAUCCGUGUUACGGAGAGAGAAAGAAAUAGAUAAAAUUAGUAUAGAAGGCAUUUCUUUUGAUGGAAAGGUUUAAUAGUUUUUGCCAUAGGUUGGUGUGAAUUCUUGUUUCGUUUAAAUAAUUUUUUUUACGAUCUUUGUCAUGAAUUUUUAUUUAUGAUUGGUUCUUUUUUUUCCAGUAAGAGCACGGGUAAUGCAAUUGCAGAAUAUUUUUCCAGAUCGGAACUUGGCUGUACUUGUUUCAGUGUAGGAGAGAUUUGCGUUAUCAAGUCAUAUAUAGUCACACGGGAUCGAACCGAGCCUGCUUUUAGUGUUCUAGUUUCGAUAGAUCGGAGUUGUCGGGUUGAAAAGUGAGAUUUGAAGCUAUAAAUUCAAAUUAUACUAUACAUGACUAUACUCAUAUAGUUAGUCACAUGUAGUUAUAUAUAGUCACAUAUAGUCAUAUACAUGUAGUCAUAUAUAGUCACAUAUAGUCAUAUACAUGUAGUCAUAUAUAUAGUCACAUAUAGUCAUAUACAUGUAGUCAUAUAUAGUCACAUGUAGUCAUAUAUAGUCACAUAUAGUCAUAUACAUGUAGUCAUAUAUAGUCACAUAUGGUCAUAUACAUGUAAUUAUAUAUAGUCACGUUUAGUAGCAUGUAAUUAUAUAUUUUUAUAUAAAAGAUAUGCGUUUCUUCUGAUGUAUACUGAUGAUGGUGUUAAUGAUUGUGUUUUUUGAUUUUUUUGUUGGGCACUAAUUGAUUUAUAAUAACAAGAUUCAAAUUGUAAAUUUAUUUGUUGGUAUAAAUGAAGUUUUUUUUAUAUAAUCAACGGGUUACAUAAUCGGUCGACCAUAAUUUUGGGAUAAAAAAUAGUACAUGACUACAUAUAACUAUACAUGACUGUCGUAUACUAUAGUCAUGUGUAGUCAAUUUAUU